UGAAUAUUCGCUAUGUGGGAAGCCUGAACAGCAACGCCCGCGUGCGCGAGAAGGCCUUCGGGUUGUAAAGCGCUUUGAAGAGAUGAGGAAGGACAGUAUCCUCUGAAUAAGCCUCGGCUAACUACGUGCCAGCAGCCGCGGUAACACGUAGGAGCCAGCGUUAUCCGAAUUACUGGGCGUAAAGCGCGUGUAGGCGGUCUUAAGUUGGAUGUGAAAGCUCCUGGCUAACUGGAGAGGUCGUUCAAUACUGAGACUGAGGGAGAGGAGGUGGAAUUCCGGUGUAGUGGUGAAAUGCGUAGAUAUCGGAGGACACCGGGCGAAGCGGCCUCUGGCCUCUGACGCUCAGACGCGAAAGCUAGGAGCAACGGGAUUAGAACCCCGGUAGUCUUAGCGUAAACGAUGUAGACUUGGCGUGGUGGUUAAAUCCAUCAGUGCCGAAGCCAACGCGAUAAGUUACCGCCUGGGGACUACGGCCGCAAGGUUAAAACUCAAAGGAAUUGACGGGGCCCCGCACAAGCAGCGGGCGUGUGGUUUAAUUCGAUGCUACACGAAGAACCUUACCUGGGUUUGACAUGAAGUGGUAGGAACUGAAAGGGACCGACCCUUCGGGGAGCUAUGAG
rnacentral:rRNA from 1 species